UACAGAGGGUGCAAGCGUUGUUCGGAAUUAUUGGGCGUAAAGCGCGUGUAGGCGGCUUUGCAAGUCGGGUGUGAAAUCCCUCAGCUUAACUGAGGAAGUGCGCCCGAAACUGCUUUGCUUGAGUGCCGGAGAGGAUGGCGGAAUUCCCCAAGUAGAGGUGAAAUUCGUAGAUAUGGGGAGGAACACCGGUGGCGAAGGCGGCCAUCUGGACGGUAACUGACGCUGAGACGCGAAAGCGUGGGGAGCAAACAGG
rnacentral:rRNA from 1 species